UAAACAAUAUUUAUUCAUUUAUUUAUUUCUCCAUUGAAGACUACUAUACUGUUACUGUUUGUCAAUAAAUGAAAACAUUUUUUUUUUUUUUUUUAGUUAGCUGGAACUAGAAAAUGUCUGUUGUCAUAAAGAUUGCUUGAUAUGUUCAAUAAUUUGAGGCUGAGAAGCUUUAGACCUCAUUCAUUCAAUUGCUUCAUUUGGCUUCAGUCAUACCUUAUUCAUUCAAUAGUGUUCUAACCCAAAGCCCAAAAGAUGCUGAAAUAAAAGAGUGAGUAGAACAUAACUAAAAAUGUACAAGGCAAGGUGCCUAAGUAUUGAUAGUGUACUUGUCACCACUGCGUUAAAAUUAAGCAUCUCGGCUAGUGGUAUUGUGUGCUCUCCCCUGCUGGCAAGUUUGGGUAGAAGCCCUGACACCACUCAAACUUGAGGGUUGAUUCCCACCUCCCUCAUGGUCCUUCGAGGGUAAUUAUUUGCCAUGUGGUCCUCUUAGCCACAUCUAAAAUACGCACCUGAGCAUGUCAAACAUCGACCACAACGAUAUCUACCACUAUUAGUUCACGUGAAAACCUUAAGAAAGAGGUGAGAACUCAGUUCUCCUUCGAAAAUGUCGAAUUCAUAGCGAAGCGAAAAUUGUGAGAACUUAAAAUACGCUGGGGAAUAAUAGACUAUGUCAAACAAUUCUCUGCUUUGAUGCUGGAUAUCAAGAAUAUGUCAGGACAAAGUAUUCAGCUUUGUCGAGGAAAUGCAACAUGGGCAAGAACAAAAUUUACGAACACAUAAUCAAGAUCUUGCCGUUGCAUUUGCGGCUGUAGAGAGACUCCUGAACUUUAUUGGUGAAGCGGGCUUUCAAAGGAAACAUACAUCAUCCCAAAAGUUCAGCGGGCUUUCAAAGGAAACAUACAUCAUCCCAAAACAUCGAGAAUAGACCUUUCAAACCUAUGGGUUAGAGGAAUGAUAGCACAAACAAACCUAUGGGUUAGAGGAAUGAUAGCACAAACAAGGAACUAUGAAAUAACUUAGUUUACAAUCCUUAGUACAAGGAGGUUAUGACCCAAAAGCCAAACUAGUGGUAGAAAAGGAAGAGGACCACGACACUCUUUUAAGAAUGGGAGUGUUGAAAUUUUUAUCAACCAUACUAAAGAAAGUUGAUCCAAAAGAAGUAUUCGAGAGGGACUGAUGUUUGAUGCAAUAAUCCAUUCUUGGCCUAGUAAGAGCAAUUUAGUGGACUCAGGUGCGACUCACAACUUCAUCUCUGACUAAGAAGUCCGUAGAUUGGAACUCUAGAAAGAAACUCUGGAAAAAUGAAAUCUCCUAACUUAGAGGCCCUACCCAUCAAGAGUAUCCAAGAGAGUCUCUUUAAGGUUGGGAGCUUGGUCAGGAGAGAUGGUUCUCGUCGUGGUUCUUAUGGAUGACUUCGACGUGGUACUGACAUGAAUUUUCUUCUAGAGCACAAAGUCGUCUCAAUGCCAGUAGCGAAGUGCGUAGUAAUUACCAAUUGCAAUCCCACAGUGAUCUUUGCAAGCAUCAAACAGUUGAGUAGAUAAAAAUGAUUUUCGUAUUACAAUCAAACAAAGAGCUUGUCUAAAAAGCGCCCACAUUCAUGGCCAUAUCUAUGGUAAAAGAUGUAACAAAUACAGAACCUGUCCCAAGUGAAAUCAAAGAUGUCUUGCACAACUAUGUUGAUAUAAUGCAAGAUAGCUUACCAAAGACGUGCCCUCUCGUCGUGGUAUUGAUCACGAAAUUAAGCUCUUCCUAGAGGUCAAACCCCAGUAAAAAACGAAUAUCAGAUGGCUUCACCAGCUACAACCAAACUAAGAAAGCAAUUAGACUAGUUAUUGACUGCAGUGUUUAGUUUCCCUGUAAAGGUGUCAUAUGGGGCCAUUGUUAUUUCAGAGGGAGAAAAAUGGGACAGCAUCGACUAUACAGCUUAAAACAACAAAGUGACAGUACGUCACAAGUAUCCCCUGCCAAUAAUAUCUGGCAUGUUUGACCAGGGGCCAAAUACUUCACAAACUUGAACUUGCAAUCAAGAUAUUACCACAAAUCAUAAACUUUAUGGGACCAAGUUUAUGAUUUGUCUUCUAUGUUGUUAGUUUUUCAUUCAAGUUGUCUAGUCAUACAA